rnacentral:rRNA from 1 species
CUGAUGCAGCGACGCCGCGUGAGCGAAGAAGUUCUUUCGGUAUGUAAAGCUCUUCAGCAGGGAAGAUAAUGACGGUACCUGACUAAGAAGCGCCGGCUAAUGACGGUACCAGCCGCCGCUAGUAUCCUAGCCAGCAGCCGCGGUAAU